CCUACGGGGGGCAGCAGUGAGGAAUAUUGGUCAAUGGACGAGAGUCUGAACCAGCCAAGUAGCGUGAAGGAUGACUGCCCUAUGGGUUGUACACUUCUUUUAUAAAGGAAUAAAACGAGGCACGUGUGCCUUUUUGCAUGUACUUUAUGAAUAAGGAUCGGCUAAAUCCGUGCCAGCAGCCGCGGUAAUUCGGAGGAUCCGAGCGUUAUCCGGAUUUAUUGGGUUUAAAGGGAGCGUAGAUGGGGUGUUAAGUCAGUUGUGAAAGUUUGCGGCUCAACCGGAAAAGUGCAAUUGAUACUGGAAGUCUUGAGUACAGUUGAGGUAGGCGGAAUUCGUGGUGUAGCGGUGAAAUGCAUAGAUAUCACGAAGAACCCCGAUUGCGAAGGCAGCUUACUAAACUGUGACUGACAUUGAUGCUCGAAAGUGUGGGUAUCAAACAGGAUUAGAUACCCGGGUAGUC
rnacentral:rRNA from 1 species